CGAGCCUGAUGCAGCCAUGCCGCGUGUAUGAAGAAGGCCUUCGGGUUGUAAAGUACUUUCAGCGGGGAGGAAGGUGUUGAGGUUAAUAACCUCAGCAAUUGACGUUACCCGCAGAAGAAGCACCGGCUAACUCCGUGCCAGCAGCCGCGGUAAU
rnacentral:rRNA from 1 species